GAUGAACGCUGGCGGCGUGCCUAAUACAUGCAAGUAGAACGCUGAAGGAGGAGCUUGCUCUUCUGGAUGAGUUGCGAACGGGUGAGUAACGCGUAGGUAACCUGCCUGGUAGCGGGGGAUAACUAUUGGAAACGAUAGCUAAUACCGCAUGACAACAGUUAUUGCAUGAUAACUGUUUAAAAGGGGCAACUGCUCCACUACCAGAUGGACCUGCGUUGUAUUAGCUAGUUGGUGAGGUAACGGCUCACCAAGGCGACGAUACAUAGCCGACCUGAGAGGGUGAUCGGCCACACUGGGACUGAGACACGGCCCAGACUCCUACGGGAGGCAGCAGUAGGGAAUCUUCGGCAAUGGACGGAAGUCUGACCGAGCAACGCCGCGUGAGUGAAGAAGGUUUUCGGAUCGUAAAGCUCUGUUGUAAGAGAAGAACGAGUGUGAGAGUGGAAAGUUCACACUGUGACGGUAUCUUACCAGAAGGGGACGGCUAACUACGUG
rnacentral:rRNA from 1 species